rnacentral:snRNA from 1 species
GUGCUUGCUUUGGCAGCACAUAUAUUAAAGUUGGAAAGAUACAAAGAAGAUUAACAUGGCCCCUGUGCAAGGAUGACAUACAAAUUUGUAAAGUGUUCCACAUUAAG